ensembl:lncRNA
GGGGAAUAAGGUUCAAGGCCUCUUCAGAUAUUGCACCCCUCGGUAUGCGGAGUGAGGUAAGCACCUAGCAGUAUUUAAGUGUUUUGUAGAGUUGAGGUGUAUGUUUUUUGUUCUGUCUAACUUAUCGCAAUAGCGCUAAACCCACCUGCUUUAAGGCACGUAGCUUGUAUUGCUAGGUAAAAACGUUAAGCUUGUUAUAUAUGAACUUGUGGAAAUUAUAAGCAUGUAUUUUUUGUAUUUUCUGUAUCUUAUAGUUUUCACGGUGCUCGUGAGAGUGUUCAGCAAGCUGAAUAAAAUAAAGCACCCGUUUAGAGACUCUGCGUUGCUUCAUGAAGCCAAGGGCUGCUACAUAUUUCAUGUUAAAACAAGAAAACAUGACAUGAAAGGUGGAUGUUGAACUGACUGAAGGUACCAAACAUCCAACGCACACAACAAAGAUCAAAGUCGAGGACCAGCACUAACUAAUUACCAAGAACACUAAACUCUCUGAAUCUGUAAAUGCUAAGCUCCAUAGAGAUCAAGGGGGAAAUGCUUGGUUCUUCAUUUCUAUAAUUAUUUAUAUUUAUUUUGUGUUAAAGUAGAAGAGGAGAUGUUUCAGGCGAUGGACCCAGAUGACCAUCUGGACACAGAGAUUGAAUAUCUGGGUAAGAAACAAAUAAGAAACAAAUACAAUAACAAGUUACAAUCACAGAGAUAUCACUUUAAAAAUAUUCAUUUAUAAUGAAAUACUGCAAGAUAUUUGUUCAUUUGUCUAAAAUAAAGCUGUUUACAUGGUUGUUGAUUUGUACCAUGGUGAUAUUUAAUUUUGUUAAAGCUGAAGACGAAACGACAGAGGCAACACUCACGGAAGUCGAAGCUAUUAAAGAACUAAUGCUCCUUUUCAUUGAGAAGAUCGAGGCCGAAUCGCUGGGAUGUGACGUGAUGAGCUCUGCAGAUACUGAGGCUGAAGCCUCAACACACAACAUGCAGACCCAUCUGGAUGAAACUGACCCAUCUAAUGACCAACUGCUGGAUGUGGAAAAGAACUCAAAUGGCAAAGCAGUUUGGAACACCAUUAAAGGUCUGAUGGUAGAUCUGCUUUAUGAUGUCCAGAGAACAGUUGACCAGAGUCUCGCAGGAAAUGAGUCGCACAAGGACGCUGACAUAGAAGUUGAGAAUGAUGACAUAAACAAACUGACGGACACUCAGCUGGACGACACAAAGACUACUUUCAAUCAAGCCCUUGGAAAAGACGGGAAUGACAGUUGA